UACGUAGGGUGCGAGCGUUGUCCGGAAUUAUUGGGCGUAAAGAGCUCGUAGGCGGUUUGUCGCGUCUGGUGUGAAAACCCGAGGCUCAACCUCGGGCUGGCAUCGGGUACGGGCAGACUAGAGUGCGGUAGGGGAGACUGGAAUUCCUGGUGUAGCGGUGGAAUGCGCAGAUAUCAGGAGGAACACCGAUGGCGAAGGCAGGUCUCUGGGCCGCAACUGACGCUGAGGAGCGAAAGCAUGGGGAGCGAACAGG
rnacentral:rRNA from 1 species